rnacentral:lncRNA from 10 species
UCAGGUAUCUGCAACCAUCUUGCUUGACGCCCUGACAGGAACUGCACCAGGCCAGAAAGUGAGGAAGCGGAAGUGGGGACCGGCCUGGGCCCUUGAGCCUGGCUGGAGUAGGUGGAAUAUCCUGGGGAGAGGAAGUUUGGUCGUUGGGCAGCGGCCGACUUUCCUCUCAGAGGCUUUCCUGAGGUCCAGCCUUCCCCUCCACUGCCGGUUCUCCUAGGGUAAUUGCUGGUCUGAUUCUCUGUGUGGCCGAACGCCCAGCACCUGGCUCAUCUGGUACACAGUCGUCAUCUGAAGUGGGGGUUGUAUGAAUGAAGACGAGGAUGCCGAGGAAAGGCCCUGCCCACAGAAAGUUGAUUCUUGCUCAGCCUCCACCCGCCAUUUUCAAAAUUCUUUCCAAAGCAUCUCGUUUCUUCCUCCCCCACGGCCCUGUCUGGCGAUUAUUCUUUGUGUUGCG